rnacentral:ncRNA from 1 species
AGUAUCGCCUUCCAAGCUGGUGUGACAAAGAUCAAACUCUUUGUUCUGAAAAGGGAAUCUGGUGUAAAUCCAGAACUGACGCGCAGCGGUAAGAGAGAACGAGCAAACAAAGACACUAUAAACCGGGAUGGUUUGGGGAAGUCGUUUGCAAGGCGAUGGCAACAUCAUGCUCUCAAGUCCGAAGACCUGCCAGCCGGCUAAAUACAACG